rnacentral:rRNA from 1 species
AUUGAACGCUGGCGGCAGGCCUAACACAUGCAAGUCGAACGAGUGGCGGACGGGUGAGUAAUGUCUGGGAAACUGCCUGAUGGAGGGGGAUAACUACUGGAAACGGUAGCUAAUACCGCAUACCAUCAGAUGUGCCCAGAUGGGAUUAGCUAGUGGGGGGGGUAAAGGCUCACCAAGGCGACGAUCCCUAGCUGGUCUGAGAGGCGGACCAGCCACACUGGAACGGAGACACGGCCCAGACUCCUACGGGAGGCAGCAGUGGGGAAUAUUGGACAAGGGGCGCAAGCCUGAUGCAGCCAUGCCGCGUGUAUGAAGAAGGCCGUCGGUUUGUAAAGUACUGUCAGCGGGGAGGCGUUACCCGCAGAGGAAGCACCGGCUAACUCCGUGCCAGCCGCCGCGGUAAUAC